rnacentral:rRNA from 1 species
GAUGAACGCUGGCGGCGUGCCUAAUACAUGCAAGUCGAACGGGAAACUUUUUUCGAAAAGUUGAGAGUGGCGCACGGGUGAGUAACACGUAGCUAAUCUGCCCUCGAGAGCGGGAUAACGCGCCGAAAGGUGUGCUAAUACCGCAUAAGCUCACGGACUGUAGAGGUCUAUGAGAAAAGCUCAGGCGCUUGAGGAGGAGGCUGCGGCCCAUCAGCUAGUUGGUGAGGUAAUGGCUUACCAAGGCGACGACGGGUAGGGGACCUGAGAGGGUGACCCCCCACACUGGGACUGAGACACGGCCCAGACUCCUACGGGAGGCAGCAGUAAGGAAUAUUGCUCAAUGGGCGCAAGCCUGAAGCAGCGACGCCGCGUGGGUGAUGAAGGUUUUCGGAUCGUAAAGCCCUUUUCUGCGUGACGAGGAAGGACGGU